rnacentral:rRNA from 1 species
AGUGAACGCUGGCGGUAGGCCUAACACAUGCAAGUCGAACGGCAGCACAGAGGAGCUUGCUCCUUGGGUGGCGAGUGGCGGACGGGUGAGGAAUACAUCGGAAUCUACUCUGUCGUGGGGGAUAACGUAGGGAAACUUACGCUAAUACCGCAUACGACCUACGGGUGAAAGCAGGGGAUCUUCGGACCUUGCGCGAUUGAAUGAGCCGAUGUCGGAUUAGCUAGUUGGCGGGGUAAAGGCCCACCAAGGCGACGAUCCGUAGCUGGUCUGAGAGGAGGACCAGCCACGCGGGAACUGAGACACGGUCCAGACUCCUACGGGAGGCAGCAGUGGGGAAUAUUGGACAAUGGGCGCAAGCCUGCUCCAGCCAUACCGCGUGGGUGAAGAAGGCCUUCGGGUUGUAAGGCCCUUUUGUUGGGAAAGAAAUCCAUCUGGUUAAUACCCGGGUGGGAUGACGGUACCCAAAGAAUAAGCACCGGCUAACUUCGUGCCAGCCGCCGCCGUAA